AUUGAACGCUGGCGGCAGGCCUAACACAUGCAAGUCGAGCGAGUGGCGGACGGGUGAGUAAUGUCUGGGAUACUGCCUGAUGGAGGGGGCUAACUACUGGAAACGGUAGCUAAUACCGCAUACCAUCAGAUGGGCCCAGAUGGGAUUAGCUUGUGGGGGGGGUAACGGCUCACCUAGGCGACGAGCCCUCGCUGGUCUGAGAGGUUGACCAGCCACACGGGAGCUGAGACACGGUCCAGACUCCUACGGGAGGCAGCAGUGGGGAAUAUUGCGCAAUGGGCGCAAGCCUGAUGCAGCCAUGCCGCGUGUGUGAAGAAGGCCUUCGGGUUGUAAAGCACUUUCAGCGGGGAGGCGUUACCCGCAGAAGAAGCACCGGCUAACUCCGUGCCAGCAGCCGCGGUAAUUC
rnacentral:rRNA from 1 species